rnacentral:rRNA from 2 species
CAUACCACUUGUUGCCUCGGCGGAUCAGCCCGCUCCCGGUAAAACGGGACGGCCCGCCAGAGGACCCCUAAACUCUGUUUCUAUAUGUAACUUCUGAGUAAAACCAUAAAUAAAUCAAAACUUUCAACAACGGAUCUCUUGGUUCUGGCAUCGAUGAAGAACGCAGCAAAAUGCGAUAAGUAAUGUGAAUUGCAGAAUUCAGUGAAUCAUCGAAUCUUUGAACGCACAUUGCGCCCGCCAGUAUUCUGGCGGGCAUGCCUGUUCGAGCGUCAUUUCAACCCUCAAGCACAGCUUGGUGUUGGGACUCGCGUUAAUUCGCGUUCCUCAAAUUGAUUGGCGGUCACGUCGAGCUUCCAUAGCGUAGUAGUAAAACCCUCGUUACUGGUAAUCGUCGCGGCCACGCCGUUAAACCCCAACUUCUGAAUGUUGACCUCGGAUCAGGUAGGAAUACCCGCUGAACUUAAGCAUAUC